GUUCAUUCCAAGGAGUUAAGUCUCAACUGACCAUGGAAAGAAUAUGGCAGAUAUAACAGCACGUAAUUUCCAAGGCAAGGUCAUAAAAGACAUUGUAGCUUCUGCCUUGUCCCUUCCUCUUGGAUCUCUUGCUAUGGAGUAGCAGCCCCAUGAAGACACCCGUGGUGGAAGAUCACUGAGGACUCCUGCCAACAGCCACCCAGUGACUGAGGCCUCUUGCAGAAAUCCAUAUGAGUGGGCCAGCUGACAAGAAAAUCUUCCAGCUCUAGUCAAGCCUUCAGGUAACAUUUUGACCAUAAUCUCAUGAGAAAUCCUG
rnacentral:lncRNA from 10 species